CAGGACUAGAGGACACAGUUGGAAAUUAAGUGGAGGUGGACACUUCUUUACAUAGAAAGUGGUGAGGAUAUAAAAUAAGCUGCAGCACCAAGUCAUGUUUCUGAUGCUGAAUUAUUUGGACUUUAAGACCAACUUGUCAAAGUUUUGAGAUCAAUCAGUUACUAUUAACCAGGCAAGCAUAGAUGGGCUGAAUGGCCUCCUCUCUUUUGUACAUUUCUUUAUGUUCUUGUGUUUCUGAGACUAGCUCUUUACAAGUAUGCUUUGCUGUCUAGUGCUGGAGAAGAUUUAUGAGCUGCUUGGAGUUGUGGGAGAAAUGCAGCCCAGCGACAUGCUUAAUAACUCUGAGAAACUUUGUCAGGCAUACACUGAGUGAACUGAAGAAACAAGCAAGUGGUUGGGGAAUUCUGUCUAUGGAGAAUAGUACAGAGGAGUUUUGCAAUCAGGAAGUGCAAUUUAGAUUAAAACAAGUUCAGAUUUCCAAUGAAAAUGCUAAGGGUAUACUUUUAUUAUUUCCAAAGCAACUAACAGAGACUAGGGGGUGAACUAUGCAUCGCAAUUGCUGCUGCAGAGUCACUUCCAAUAGAACCCCAGUUUUAUAUCUCAUUCGAAAGACUGGCUGAGCUGGGAUUGAACCCGGAAUCUUCUGGAAUCAAGACCCUUUCUUUAACCACUGGACGGCCAAGCACAUGUUGUCUACAUUGUUUACAAAGUGUUCUGUUUCAUGAUAUAUAUUUUUUACCUGAAGCUGUGGUGGGUUUGUGUGUUAUUAACCUACUGGUUUAAACUGCAGGUUGCUAAGCUUUAAAACAUUUUAAAUAUUCUCCUUUUUUACACUUAGAGAUGGACAGGUUCUUUCAGACAGUGUAUCCUGGGAUUCUCAUAAUCUCAGUUACGUCAAUCAUUACAUUUAGAUGACAUCUGCAACAAGAAAGCCCAAGCUACCUGUGGUAGCCGGAUGUCUGAUAGGUUUAACUGCUCUUAUGAUAAACUUGACCAAAUCAAUGGAUGGAGCUCCUAAAGGUUCGAAGGAAUUUGAUUUUGCACUAAAAGCUAUUACCCCCAGACAGAGUUGAAAAGACAUGUUGUAUCUUUGACCCUGUGUCUGCAGGAUGUGGAUUUCAUGUACACAGAGCUGAUUCAGUGCUGGAAGCAGAUGUGCCUGACUGAGACUGACACAGAGGAUGACAAUGUGUAUCAGCAGCCCAGUGUCAUAGUCCACCUUGACAGGUGCGUUAGGGUUGGAUUCGUGUCUGUUCUAAGCCAGUGCUUCUUACUGAGGAAGAAGAGGGACAAGAGGGGGACCAACCGGUGGAAGGAGGACAGGGAAGUGGAAGGUCCCCUCAUACAGGGACUACCUAGGCCUCUUGAGGAGCCUUCUGGACUGUGAUAAAAUGAAGGACUCUGGAUUCGUAGAUGGACCCUAUGACGUCUGAAGUUCAUCUCUGCACACCUGAACCGUUUGCUUCAUGACAAGCUCAUCAAAUCAAUACUGAAGAUAAAUGAGAAACAGGACUUGUCGGUCCAGAAACAGCUCUCACUAGCAAGCGGUUGGAAUUGGGCUGUUGAAUUAUUCUACAUAAUUUGUUCUCUGAGUCCAACCAAAUGGCAUAUUAUAUGGAUUGGAUAGUAUCAUAUAUAUUUUUACUCUAUCCAUAUACUUUCCUUUUACUUGAUAUUCACCCACUAUAAAGAAAAUGUUUUACUUUAUAUGUUUUAACUUUUUUUAAAAUAACUUUAACCAUCAAAAGGGUUAGUAAAACUCAAAACCCACACGGUAAAUUUCAACUUUCCACUUAAACUGGUUUAACUGAGGUUUGUUUGUUUGAGACUUUACUGCUAAAAUAUUUAAAAUAUAUAUUUGUAAAAUGUGUACCAUGUUAGUUUAUAUAUAAUUGCAAAGACUACAUAGCCUAUACAUUUUAGACGCACAUACAAACACACACACACACUAGGACAAUGUGUUGAUUUUGACAUAUGAACCUUGGAACAUUGAAAUAGGGUUUAUUUAAAUAGUCUGUAUAAAUUGUAUCAGACCUCAAUUUAGUAUAAAAAUACAACGCUUUUCUGUCACAGUUUUUACUAUAUAUACUAUUGAUCACUAUGCUGAAGAAGACACUAGCCAAAACAUUUGUCUUAUUUGUUUUACUGUACAUAUGUCAAAAGAAAUACAGACUAUAGAUUUUACAACUUCUUCUGACCUGGCUGCAGACCUUCAGCCAAGCAAAUCCAAAGACUUCACUGCCAUUGUCGACCUGGUGGAGUUCUGUAGGUAAAGCUUGUUGUCUUUUUGCAGUAUUUUAGUUUUUUUUUUGGCAAGAUAUACUGCAUCUUCUAUUUUAUGUUUAAUAGGGAAUACAUAGCUUUUUUGCCCUACCAUAGAGCCUUAGUUCUUGUACACAGUGCUGCUCACAUAUUUUGUUAGUGGUCUCAGCGAAGCAUAUGUGUUGUGUUGGAUUUACAAUGUGAGGAACUGCUGGGUUUGUUGCUCAACAGCAUAAUGCUAUUGGUGCCUCUCUGACACGUCCCAGAAGAACUUUGUUACUUUCUCUCACGGAGAGUACUAUAGUUUGUUCCAAGAGUCAAUUCAGAGCUUCUUCAGAACCAGGACACCACUGUGCCACAGUUGAUGAAGACCUUAAAAUGGUGAGAGCCCUUUUUAUGAAUGAAGUCUAGGUCGGACUUCUUUUCUUUGGAGUGCUGCCACAAAAACAGCAACACCAAUGUAGUAGUGAUCCUUUAAAAUCAAUGACAGUAGAGGUUACUCCAUUUCCUGUACCCUUGAACUAUAAUACAAUUUAGUCUGAUUUCUAAUUUCCACCAAUCCAAUUAGAAAAGAGUUCCCAAAAACACCCUUAAAGGGAAGAACAAUAGUAACUUUUUUUUGUUUCCUGACUUUUGCCUUUUGCAUUAUCUAUUUAAAUCUACUGUACACCCAGGAAUAUGAAUUAUUUUUGGUCACUAUUUGGAAAAGCAUAACUAAUCGUGCCCUGUAACAUUGAAUUCUUAAGUGUGCGCAGUGCAGGUGAGCAUGGGAUCAUUUUCCACUUUAGCCCUCCUCUCCAGUCAGUCCCAUAUAUAUAUAUAUAUAUAUAUAUAUAUAUAUAUAUAUAUAUAUAUAUAUAUAUAUAUAUAUAUAUAUAUAUAUACACAAAAAAGACAUUGCUUGUUUAAUUCCCUCACUUAUUACUUAUUAUACUUAUCAAAUAGAUUUUUUUUUUUGACGAUUCAAGUGAUCAUCAGAAAAAUAGUUUAAGCUACUAAAGAACAGUGCAACCUGCAUUUCUUUUUCCCUGCUCGAUGGCUCCAAUCUGUUACACUUGCCUUUAGAACUAAUGGUAGUUUUGAAUCAGUGACUAGUAGUAUAUGUACUGAACACCACUGCAAAUGUUGAGUGGCAUGUGUUGAAAGAAACCAAAGAAUCAAUCUGUCAUUAAAACAAACUGCAGUUUAAAAUAAGUGGCUUUUUCUAUUAGUCAGUGCUGGUGAUCUUUCUGGGUCGGUAUCUUGUCAUCUAUUUACAGUAUUUCGUUUAUUCCUUGCUUCAACAGAAAAAAUGUGAAAAAAUUGACAUUUCAAAAUCUAAGCUGAAAUAUUUUACUACUAUUAUGGUUUCC